AGGCAGCUGUGAACAAGACAGACCAGGCUAUGUUUCCUGGAACUAUAGUACAUUCUAUGAGGGAAGGUUAUGCAAUAAAUAAAUGAACACAUACAUGAAAGAUAAUAUAGUGCCACGCAGAGAAUAACAAUGGGUGAGACUGAAUGAUAACUAUCUACUGAACCAAUUAAUGAACAAAAGAGAAGUAGGAAGGAAGACUUUCUGAAAACCACAUUCCCGGGAGGUAUAGAAUUCAAACAGGGAGCCCAAGGGCUGAGACGACACACCAAAGUAUCCUCUAAGAUAUAAGAAGACUUCCUGGAGAAGGUGCUUAUUGAGCAGAUGCUCUGGGCUGAGCUGGCUGAGGACAGGAAGAUGGUGACAGAAGACCAUCCCCACCCUCUGAAGGCUCACAGUCCAGAAGUGGGAGAUAGACAGGUUUCUUUCUCCUAAACACAUACCCAAAGAGAUUCCUCCUCAGCUGAAGUCAGAGCAGCAGCAGAAGGAGGAGGAGGAGGAAGAGGAAGAGCAGGAAGAGGAAAGAGGAGAAGGGAGAAGAGGAGGAAGAAAGUAGAGGC
rnacentral:lncRNA from 10 species